GGGGCCCCUCUCGGGUUACCGAAUUCAGACAAACUCCGAAUGCCAAUUAAUUUAACUUGGGAGUCAGAACAUGGGUGAUAAGGUCCGUGUUCGAAAGGGAAACAGCCCAGACCACCAGCUAAGGUCCCAAAAUAUAUGUUAAGUGGAAAAGGAUGUGGCGUUGCCCAGACAACUAGGAUGUUGGCUUAGAAGCAGCCAUCAUUUAAAGAGUGCGUAAUAGCUCACUAGUCGAGUGACACUGCGCCGAAAAUGUACCGGGGCUAAACAUAUUACCGAAGCUGUGGAUUGUCCUUUGGACAAUGGUAGGAGAGCGUUCUAAGGGCGUUGAAGCAUGAUCGUAAGGACAUGUGGAGCGCUUAGAAGUGAGAAUGCCGGUGUGAGUAGCGAAAGACGGGUGAGAAUCCCGUCCACCGAUUGACUAAGGUUUCCAGAGGAAGGCUCGUCCGCUCUGGGUUAGUCGGGUCCUAAGCUGAGGCCGACAGGCGUAGGCGAUGGAUAACAGGUUGAUAUUCCUGUACCACCUAUAAUCGUUUUAAUCGAUGGGGGGACGCAGUAGGAUAGGCGAAGCGUGCGAUUGGAUUGCACGUCUAAGCAGUAAGGCUGAGUAUUAGGCAAAUCCGGUACUCGUUAAGGCUGAGCUGUGAUGGGGAGAAGACAUUGUGUCUUCGAGUCGUUGAUUUCACACUGCCGAGAAAAGCCUCUAGAUAGAAAAUAGGUGCCCGUACCGCAAACCGACACAGGUAGUCAAGAUGAGAAUUCUAAGGUGAGCGAGCGAACUCUCGUUAAGGAACUCGGCAAAAUGACCCCGUAACUUCGGGAGAAGGGGUGCUCUUUAGGGUUAACGCCCAGAAGAGCCGCAGUGAAUAGGCCCAAGCGACUGUUUAUCAAAAACACAGGUCUCUGCUAAACCGUAAGGUGAUGUAUAGGGGCUGACGCCUGCCCGGUGCUGGAAGGUUAAGAGGAGUGGUUAGCUUCUGCGAAGCUACGAAUCGAAGCCCCAGUAAACGGCGGCCGUAACUAUAACGGUCCUAAGGUAGCGAAAUUCCUUGUCGGGUAAGUUCCGACCCGCACGAAAGGCGUAACGAUUUGGGCACUGUCUCAACGAGAGACUCGGUGAAAUCAUAGUACCUGUGAAGAUGCAGGUUACCCGCGACAGGACGGAAAGACCCCGUGGAGCUUUACUGUAGCCUGAUAUUGAAAUUCGGCACAGCUUGUACAGGAUAGGUAGGAGCCUUUGAAACGUGAGCGCUAGCUUACGUGGAGGCGCUGGUGGGAUACUACCCUAGCUGUGUUGGCUUUCUAACCCGCACCACUUAUCGUGGUGGGAGACAGUGUCAGGCGGGCAGUUUGACUGGGGCGGUCGCCUCCUAAAAGGUAACGGAGGCGCUCAAAGGUUCCCUCAGAAUGGUUGGAAAUCAUUCAUAGAGUGUAAAGGCAUAAGGGAGCUUGACUGCGAGACCUACAAGUCGAGCAGGGUCGAAAGACGGACUUAGUGAUCCGGUGGUUCCGCAUGGAAGGGCCAUCGCUCAACGGAUAAAAGCUACCCCGGGGAUAACAGGCUUAUCUCCCCCAAGAGUUCACAUCGACGGGGAGGUUUGGCACCUCGAUGUCGGCUCAUCGCAUCCUGGGGCUGUAGUCGGUCCCAAGGGUUGGGCUGUUCGCCCAUUAAAGCGGUACGCGAGCUGGGUUCAGAACGUCGUGAGACAGUUCGGUCCCUAUCCGUCGUGGGCGUAGGAAAUUUGAGAGGAGCUGUCCUUAGUACGAGAGGACCGGGAUGGACAUACCUCUGGUGUACCAGUUGUCGUGCCAACGGCAUAGCUGGGUAGCUAUGUGUGGACGGGAUAAGUGCUGAAAGCAUCUAAGCAUGAAGCCCCCCUCAAGAUGAGAUUUCCCAACUUCGGUUAUAAGAUCCCUCAAAGAUGAUGAGGUUAAUAGGUUCGAGGUGGAAGCAUGGUGACAUGUGGAGCUGACGAAUACUAAUCGAUCGAAGACUUAAUCAA
rnacentral:rRNA from 1 species